rnacentral:rRNA from 1 species
AGAGUUUGAUCCUGGCUCAGAACGAACGCUGGCGGCGCGUUUUAAGCAUGCAAGUCGAGCGGCAAGGGCCUUUGGGCCCCUAGAGCGGCGGACGGGUGAGUAACACGUGGACAAUCUGCCCCCCGGCCGGGGAUAGCCCAGGGAAACCUGGAUUAAUACCGGAUGAGACGGGACCCGCGGAGGCGGGAUCCGGGAAAGGCGCUGCGGCGCCGCCGGGGGAUGAGUCUGCGUCCCAUUAGCUAGACGGCGGGGUGAAGGCCCACCGUGGCGACGAUGGGUAGCCGGCCUGAGAGGGUGGACGGCCACAUUGGAACUGAGACACGGUCCAGACUCCUACGGGAGGCAGCAGCUAAGAAUCUUCCGCAAUGGGCGAAAGCCUGACGGAGCGACGCCGCGUGAACGAAGAAGGCCGUGAGGUUGUAAAGUUCUUUUCGGGAGGGGGAACAACCGUGGCAGGGAAUGGCCGCGGGAUGACGUGAAUCCCGGAAUAAGCCCCGGCUAACUACGUGCCAGCAGCCGCGGUAACACGUAGGGGGCGAGCGUUGUUCGGAAUCAUUGGGCGUAAAGGGCGUGCAGGCGGUCCUGCAAGUCCGGCGUGAAAGACCCCGGCCCAACCGGGGGGGCGCGCUGGAAACUGCAGGGCUUGA